CUUAGUGGCGGACGGGUGAGUAACGCGUGGGUAACCUGCCUUGCACUGGGGGAUAACACUUAGAAAUAGGUGCUAAUACCGCAUAACAGGAGAAGAUGCAUGUCUUUUCCUUGAAAAACUCCGGUGGUGUAAGAUGGACCCGCAUCUGAUUAGCUUGUUGGCGGGGUAACGGCCCACCAAGGCGACGAUCAGUAGCCGGCCUGAGAGGGUGAACGGCCACAUUGGGACUGAGACACGGCCCAAACUCCUACGGAAGGCAGCAG
rnacentral:rRNA from 1 species